rnacentral:misc_RNA from 1 species
GCAGAAAAUGAGCAGGAGCUUUGUCGUGUUAAGACCGACUUUGAGUCUCUAAAAUCCUAUGUCAGUAAUCUCGUUAGUGUGAGAGAAACAAUUCUAUCAUCAGAAAAGCAAUUCCAGACAAUUGAAAGGCUUUUUGAGCGGCUGGUCGCCAAGUCAACACAACUGGAGAGUGAGAAGACGCAGAAAGAGGCUGAAGUAGAAAAACUGAUGGAAGAAAAUGUGAGGUUGACUGCUCUGCUUGAUAAGAAAGAGGCACAGCUUUUGGCUAUGAAUGAACAGUGCAAAGUUAUGGCGUUAAGUGCUUCAAAUAUUUAGUUCAGUGUGUUUAGACCCUUUGCUUCUUUUCGUGUUUAAUGUCACCUGCUUAAAAAGGUGAAGACUGCAAAACCUUAUAUCCAGUUUAUGCAACUCUGAGUGUCUCAUUGAUAAAAUGCAUAUUUAUCCUCAAAUCUA